rnacentral:rRNA from 1 species
AGAGUUUGAUCCUGGCUCAGAAUCAACGCUGGCGGCGUGCCUAACACAUGCAAGUCGAACGAGAAAGGGUAGCAAUACCUGAGUAAAGUGGCGCACGGGUGAGUAACACGUGACUAACCUACCCUGGAGUGGGGGAUAACUGAGGGAAACCUUAGCUAAUACCGCAUAAUACCUACGGGUCAAAGGAGCAAUUCGCUUUGGGAGGGGGUCGCGGCCGAUUAGUUAGUUGGCGGGGUAAUGGCCCACCAAGACAGUGAUCGGUAUCCGGCCUGAGAGGGCGCACGGACACACUGGAACUGAAACACGGUCCAGACUCCUACGGGAGGCAGCAGUGGGGAAUUUUGCGCAAUGGGGGAAACCCUGACGCAGCAACGCCGCGUGGAGGAUGAAGUACUUCGGUACGUAAACUCCUUUCGAUCGGGACGAUAAUGACGGUACCGGAAGAAGAAGCCCCGGCUAACUUCGUGCCAGCAGCCGCGGUAAUACGAGGGGGGCAAGCGUUGUUCGGAAUUAUUGGGCGUAAAGGGUGCGUAGGCGGUUUGGUAAGUCUUGUGUGAAAUCUCCGGGCUCAACUCGGAGUCUGCACAGGAAACUGCCGGGCUUGAGUAUGGGAGAGGUGAGUGGAAUUUCCGGUGUAGCGGUGAAAUGCGUAGAUAUCGGAAGGAACACCUGUGGCGAAAGCGGCUCACUGGACCAUAACUGACGCUGAUGCACGAAAGCUAGGGGAGCAAACAGGAUUAGAUACCCUGGUAGUCCACGCUGUAAACGAUGUGUGCUGGAUGUUGGGGAACUAUGUUUUUCAGUGUCGUAGUUAACGCGAUAAGCACACCGCCUGGGGAGUACGGCCGCAAGGUUGAAACUCAAAGGAAUUGACGG